UACAGAGGUCCCAAGCGUUGUUCGGAUUCAUUGGGCGUAAAGGGUGCGUAGGUGGCGCCGUAAGUCGGGUGUGAAAUCUCGGGGCUUAACUCCGGAACUGCAUUCGAUACUGCGGUGCUUGAGGACUGGAGAGGAGACUGGAAUUUACGGUGUAGCGGUGAAAUGCGUAGAGAUCGGAAGGAAGACCAGUGGCGAAGGCGGGUCUCUGGACAGUUCCUGACACUGAGGCACGAACGCGAGGGGAGCAAACGGG
rnacentral:rRNA from 1 species